UGGACCUGACUGUAUAUACGUUAUAAUGAUCCUUAAUGGGAGAUGUAGGAAGUCUGCAAUGUGUAAACACAGUGCAUGCUUCCUAGUUUUCUAGUUCCCUCUAGACAGAAAGAGAGGCAGCAUUUUUACCUCUUGUGAUGUAAAAGUGAAGCCAAAGAAGAAAAGAUAUGAGUCAGUGUUCACCUGUAUUUCUUUUAACCCCACAGAGGGAAUCCAGGCAGGCUUUCCCAGUGCAUGACUCAACCCGCUACUAGCAGAAAUAAGACAUCAUACAGUGCUGAUUUUCUCUUUCCCUCUUGCUCAACAUUCUCAGUCAUUUAGUGUGAAGCCACCUGACAACUACUUCAUGUUCUCACAAAGGCGCGAUGUUUAGCCCUGAUGAAGCACUUAUUUCUGAUGACUGUGCACCUCCGAAAAUGGCUUACUAAGUCAUUUCUCAGAAGCCUCCCCUUUGUUGUGUGACAUGUCACUGUUGUUCCAGUAAUUCGGCCCAAACUGCACCAUUUCUGACAAGCUCUCACUCUGCUGUUGUGGUUCUUCUUGGACAGUUUGGGCUGCAUUUGCUGCACAUGACAAGAGCUGGCCUGUCCAGUGGGGGGCAGUGUAUCGUUACCCCCCUCUGUGACAGCAACAACAACCUUGAGGAGCACAUUUAGAGGACGAAGUUUAUCCGCAGCUUUUAAAAAGAACGCCUACUCUUGUACAUGGAGGGCGAAAACCAGUGACUGCUAACCACCUCCACCUGCAGCCAUGCACCUACAGCUCUGGCAGCGAAGCCAACAUCGGCAGGGAUCUCCAGCUCUCUCCCAACCUCUGUGUCCUUCCUCCUCAACUCCAAACCAUUCUUCCUCACCUCCACCUCAACAGCCAGUUCUCCUCUUGUUAUUGCUUUUAUUUUUGUCCCAGCCCUGAAACAUUAUUCAGCCACCAUACACACCUCCCUCUUCAUCCACAGCAUGUCACUCCUCAGUCCUCCACCUCACAGGUCCCUCAUGUCUCCUCACCCUCUCUAAACUGUUUACAGCAGACACUUCGACAUUCUUUGAAGACAGCACAUUUGAAGAGAAGAACACACCAGCGCUCUCUCCCUCCGUCACACCUCAACCACAGCCUAUGCUGCUUCUGGAGUCAUAAUUUUAUUUCUUUCUUUUUUUUAAUUUGCUUUAAUAAUAUUAUUUGCAGCUUUGUCAUUCUGUUAUGCUUCUUUGCAUUUAUGCAUUCAAGACUGAUACUAGGAGCUAUGCAUUGCCAAUUUGUAAUGCUGUUCAUAUGUGUAUUUUUAGAAAAACCUUUUUCAGAGGCAAAAAUAAAUAUGCUCUAUUUUUUAUAAGGAAUUACUUGAAGUUUUUCACAGUGUUGGGGGUUGCACUGCCUCCUCCCACAUGAGAAAUUCAGUGGCAUGUAAUGUCCAUGAUGUACAUAGUGUUCUUUUUAAAAAGAUGUGUAAAAAGACAUAUUUUUGCUCGUUUAAAAAAAAAAAAAAAAAACAGAGACAAAGGACAAUGUUACAUAUUUGAAUACAGUAGAAAGCUGAUUUGAUGACUUGUUCUCCUUUUGAAAUGAAAUCGUCUUAAGUUUCUCUUUCUCUUAGAGUGUAAUCUACAAAUAAAACUGGUAUUAUCUAGUUUACACAACAA